GCGGGAAUGGCGGAAUUGGCAGACGCGCUAGGUUGAGGGCCUAGUGGUAGUAAUACCGUGCAGGUUCAAGUCCUGUUUCCCGCA
rnacentral:tRNA from 6 species